rnacentral:rRNA from 1 species
UACAGAGGUGGCAAGCGUUGUUCGGAAUUACUGGGCGUAAAGGGCGAGUAGGCGGCCAUCUAAGUCAGACGUGAAAUCCCCCGGCUUAACCUGGGAACUGCGUCUGAUACUGGACGGCUUGAGUUUGGGAGAGGGAUGCAGAAUUCCAGGUGUAGCGGUGAAAUGCGUAGAUAUCGUGAGGAACACCAGAGGCGAAGGCGGCUACCUGGACAAUUGCUGACGCUCAGGCACGAAAGCGUGGGGAGCAAAAGGG